rnacentral:lncRNA from 1 species
CAGUAUUAUAAAAUACAAAUUACAAAACAUAUAUUAUAACAAUAUGAACCUGUAUUACAUUGAUACAUUGACACAAAUACUCAGAUCAUUCAAAAUAUGAAUAUUGAUAUAUCUGAUUAAAACUCCAUGUUUUUAACUCAUAUAUCAGAAAAGCUGCCAUACAAAUUACAAUGUACUCUAAAAAAGCAAAUUACAAUGUACUCUGAAAAAGCAGAAACAUAUACAUAUCAAACUCAUAAAAGAUAAUCUAGAAUGCAUCAGGGACGGGAUUCAGCUCCAUCAUCAUCUCUACAAGCAUUUGAAGUAUCAGGAAUCUAACAAAAAAAAUAAAAAAAACCUUAGAAGUUAAGAAUAAUGUGAUACAUUAACUCAUAUAUCAUAAUUGAUAAUAUGUAAAAUAUUAAAAUAUAUAUAGUUAUUUACCUGAGAAGGGAGAAACCGUUGUAACAUGGAAGAAAUAUUCGUAAGCUGAGACUGCAAAUUUGCUUGGUUUUGNN